UACGGAGGAUGCGAGCGUUAUCCGGAUUUAUUGGGUUUAAAGGGAGCGUAGACGGCGGUUUAAGUCAGCUGUGAAAUGGUGCGGCUCAACCGUAGCACUGCAGUUGAAACUGGACGGCUUGAGUGCAGUUGAGGCAGGCGGAAUUCGUGGUGUAGCGGUGAAAUGCUUAGAUAUCACGAAGAACCCCGAUUGCGAAGGCAGCCUGCUAAGCUGCAACUGACGUUGAGGCUCGAAAGUGUGGGUAUCAAACAGG
rnacentral:rRNA from 1 species